CUGAACAGUAUGGUCAAGGAUCCUGAUGAUGGAUUGUCAGCCACCCACUUGGCUGUCAUGCAGGUGCUGUUUGAUAUCCGCACGGCUGGUCAGGGACUGUUUGUGAAAGUUGUCUUUGGAAAAAGACCCUCAUUUGUCCGAUUCUAGCAGGGAACCUAUGACAGACGAAAUAGUGCAUCUGAGUUCCAUCAAAGGUAAAAAUUUUUGCUUUCGUUUGAACUCAUAGUUAUCCUUCGCUGCCUUCUUCACUUGAGUGACUCACGCAAGUUUUUUAUUGUUUAAUUGAACAACAAUACCAGAGAGCCACGCGUCACAUCACUGCUCAACCUUGCAGCGCAAAGAGCAGGCAAGGGGUCUGUUUGGCCACACGCUCUGCCAAGACUGCAGUGCUGUAGUCUGCAGAUAGAUCCACUAUAACCUACAAUAAGGCCCACCAGAAAACACACAAGGAUGUUAGCAAGUUAGCAUGUUUCAUGAUGACUGGAAACGUAGAGGAUACCCUCUGCACCUCUCCCCUGUGAGACUGAGGUCUCAGCAGUUCAGCUGAAUCCUAGAGAUCUCAGGUGGCAAAACCCCCACAAACAUUACAGAGAUCACGGAGAAGGCACCACUUGCGGCAGCUGAAGAAACCCAAAACAAAUGUCUUACAUGACUCCAGGGGCAAGGAAGCGUGCAGGAAAGCUCAUCGCUGAAACCUCCCACCACCGUCACCCACUUUCCCCAAGAGUAUUCUUCAACGAGCCGAAGGCAGGAUGGCGGUGCAGGUUAUGACCAAAGAAUCCCACCACCUGAACAGUUCCCUGUGCUGUGGCCCUUAGAUAACCUGUCCCAUAGAGACUAACUAGACCAGGCUGACCACGAAACACCCCGUCUAGAAAGUAAACUGAAUGGACUCUACUCUCCACACCUCUCAUUUCCCUGAACAUAGAUUGAGUAUACCGAUACUGUAAAAGUGAAGGCAGGAACAGACCAUCUGCAACAGCAGACCCCCAACACAGCCUUAACUACCCAGAGAGAUUUGAACGCCAUGCCUCUCAUUCCGGCACUCCACAUGCUCUCAUUCGUCAAGGCGUAUGGAACAAUGCAGAACCUCAAGCAGAAUAGAAGAGCUUUCCUCUGUCCUCCACACAUCCUGAGAGAGGAUAUAUCCAAGAUCUUUCCUCUGUCCUCCACACAUCCUGAGAGAGGAUAUAUCCAAGAUCGGUUUGGUGUGUGUAACUGCGUUCAUUCAAA
ensembl:lncRNA